rnacentral:rRNA from 1 species
GACGAACGCUGGCGGCGUGCUUAACACAUGCAAGUCGAACGGAAAGGCCCUGCUUUUGUGGGGUGCUCGAGUGGCGAAAGGGUGAGUAACAAGUGAGUAACCUGCCCUUGACUUUGGGGUAACUUCAGGAAACUGGGGCUAAUACCGGGUAGGAGCUCCUGCUGCAUGGUGGGGGUUGGAAAGUUUCGGCGGUUGGGGAUGGACUCGCGGCUUAUCAGCUUGUUGGUGGGGUAGUGGCUUACCAAGGCUUUGACGGGUAGCCGGCCUGAGAGGGUGACCGGCCACAUUGGGACUGGGAUACGGCCCAGACUCCUACGGGAGGCAGCAGUGGGGAAUAUUGCACAAUGGGCGGAAGCCUGAUGCAGCAACGCCGCGUGCGGGAUGACGGCCUUCGGGUUGUAAACCGCUUUCGCCUGUGACGAAGCGUGAGUGACGGUAAUGGGUAAAGAAGCACCGGCUAACUACGUG